rnacentral:tRNA from 1 species
AGGAAGUUAGUCUAAAAUAAGACCUCUAAUUUCGACUUAGCUAAUUGCGCCUCACCCCGCAACUUCCUU